rnacentral:rRNA from 1 species
GUGCCAGCCGCCGCGGUAAUACGGAGGGUGCAAGCGUUGUUCGGAAUUAUUGGGCGUAAAGCGCGUGUAGGCGGUUAUGUAAGUCAGAUGUGAAAUCCUUCCGCUUAACGGGAGAAGUGCAUUUGAAACUGCAUGACUGGAGUACGGGAGAGGAGAGUGGAAUUCCCGGUGUAGAGGUGAAAUUCGUAGAUAUCGGGAGGAACACCAGUGGCGAAGGCGGCUCUCUGGCCUGAUACUGACGCUGAGACGCGAAAGCGUGGGGAGCAAACAGGAUUAGAUACCCGGGUAGUCC